UACGUAGGGUGCAAGCGUUGUCCGGAAUUAUUGGGCGUAAAGAGCUCGUAGGCGGUUUGUCGCGUCUGCUGUGAAAACUCAGGGCUUAACCCUGAGCUGCAGUCAGGGUACGGCAGGACUGAGAGUGUGGUAGGGGAGAUCGGAAUUCCCAGUGUAGAGGUGAAAUUCGUAGAUAUUGGGAGGAACACCAGCGGCGAAGGCGGCGACCUGGUCAGAUACGUGACGCUGAGGCGCGAAAGCGUGGGGAGCAAACAGG
rnacentral:rRNA from 1 species